rnacentral:rRNA from 1 species
CCGUUGCCGGCGACCGGCGCACGGGUGAGUAACACGUAUGCAACCUGCCCGUGGCAGGGGGAUAAGCGGGGGAAACCCCGUCUAAUACCGCGUAACGCGGCCUUGGGGCAUCCCAAGGCCGCCAAAGGGAGCAAUCCCGGCCACGGAUGGGCAUGCGGCGCAUUAGCUAGUCGGCGGGGUAACGGCCCACCGAGGCGACGAUGCGUAGGGGUUCUGAGAGGAAGGCCCCCCACACUGGGACUGAGACACGGACCAGACUCCUACGGGAGGCAGCAG